rnacentral:rRNA from 1 species
AUUGAACGCUGGCGGCAGGCCUAACACAUGCAAGUCGAACGGUAACAGGAAGCAGCUUGCUGCUUCGCUGACGAGUGGCGGACGGGUGAGUAAUGUCUGGGAAGCUGCCUGAUGGAGGGGGAUAACUACUGGAAACGGUAGCUAAUACCGCAUAAUGUCGCAAGACCAAAGAGGGGGACCUUCGGGCCUCUUGCCAUCGGAUGUGCCCAGAUGGGAUUAGCUUGUUGGUGGGGUAACGGCUGACCAAGGCGACGAUCCCUAGCUGGUCUGAGAGGAUGACCAGCCACACUGGGACUGAGACACGGUCCAGACUCCUACGGGAGGCAGCAGUGGGGAAUAUUGCACAAUGGGCGCAAGCCUGAUGCAGCCAUGCCGCGUGUAUGAAGAAGGCCUUCGGGUUGUAAAGUACUUUCAGCGGGGAGGAAGGGAGUAAAGUUAAUACCUUUGCUCAUUGACGUUACCCGCAGAAGAAGCACCGGCUAACUCCGUG